AUUUAAAUUCAGGCUAUCUAGCAGAUUGUUUUCGAGAGCUAAAUCAUAACUCUGUAGUUGAGGUUAUGGUCAACCCAGAGCACAAGCACAAAAGAUGUUGACACUAGUUUACCGGGCCAUCUUUUUAGUUUCUUUCAGAAAGGAACUGCCUCUCUUUUAUCCUCUUCAUACCUCCCCAAAGACACACACAUACCCUUUCGAUUCUUUCCUCUCUCCUUUAUUGCCUAUGUUUCUCAAAUGGAGCCAGCAGCUCAGUUACCAGUAUCUUAGAUUUUCAAAGCGGUAUAUCAUCCUAUCAGUUUGAAGGCAAUCUGGACUUUUUUUAAUACAUUACAAGAAUCUCUUGUGCAUUUCUGAAUGUUUUCAUAUUCUCUUCCUUCUCUUUUAUCUUUCUGAUGCUUUGCUUCACCUAUUUGCCUUUCCUUUGCUUGCAUCAUUUUAUACUUCAG
rnacentral:misc_RNA from 1 species